CCACGGUAACAUACUUUAACAGCAUGAUUCGAAAAGGGGUUUGUCUCUGAGGGCCCGCUCUUAGUAGUUGGGGAGGAAGGCUCACCAAGCAAGAUGUGUAGCCAUCCUCAGAGGGUGAUCCCCCCACUGGGAAUAGACACUCCCCAUCUUGUCGAGCCACGCCGCGGAGGAACUCUGCGUCGUAAACUCUGUUGUAGGAAGAACAAGUGUUAUUGAUAAGCUGGCACUUGCGGUUCCUAUCCCGAAACCCACGGCUAUUACGUCCUUCAGCCGUUGUAAUAUGGGGCAAGGUUUUCGAAUUUUGGGUAAAGCGCGCGCAGGUAGUUUUUUAAUUUUGAUGUGAAAACCCACGGCUCAUCCGUGGAGGGUCAUUGGAAACUGGGGAACUUGAGUGCAGAAGAGGAAAGUGGAAUUCCAUGUGUAGCGGUGAAAUGUGUAGAGAUAUGGAGGACGCCAGUGGAGAAGGCGACUUUCUGGUUUGUAACUGACACUGAGGCGCGAAAGCGUGGGGGCAACAGAUUAAUCCCCUGUGUCACCCGUAAAGAAGUAUAGUGUUAAGGUUUCCCCCUUUCGAAGUUCACGCAUAACACUCCGCUGGGAGUCGCCGCAGCUGGAAUGCAACGGACGAACCUUAGCCAGGUCUGACAUCCUCUGAAACCCUAGAAUACGCUUCUCUUCGGGAGCCGAGGACAGGUGUGCAUGGGUCUCAGCUCGCGCC
rnacentral:rRNA from 1 species